UUACACAUUUGUGAUAUAUUUUAAAGGCAGUGACCAAUGAAGAUGUGUAUAUCAACUUCACUCAGGAAGAGUGGGAUUUGUUGAAUCCUUCCCAGAAGAAUCUCUAUAAAGAAGUAAUGCUGGAGACCUACAGGAACCUCAUUUCUAUAGGAUACAUUUGGGAAGACCAUAACACUGAAGAACAUUGGCAAUGUUCUAGAAGACAUGCAAGGAUUAAAAGAAAUCAAAAUGGUGAGAAGAAACUUUCAGUGUAUACUGACUGUGUUAAAGCCUUGUCUUAUGAGACUCACCUUCUAUGGAAUGAAAAAACACAUA